rnacentral:rRNA from 1 species
AACGAACGCUGGCGGCAGGCUUAACACAUGUAAGUCGAACGCGCCCUUCGGGGCGAGUGGCAGACGGGUGAGUAACGCGUGGGAACCUACCUCAUGGUGCGGAAUAACCCAGGGAAACUUGGGCUAAUACCGCAUGUGCCCGAAAGGGGAAAGAUUUAUCGCCAUGGGAUGGGCCCGCGUCGGAUUAGCUAGUUGGUGGGGUAACGGCCUACCAAGGCGACGAUCCGUAGCUGGUCUGAGAGGAUGAUCAGCCACACUGGGACUGAGACACGGCCCAGACUCCUACGGGAGGCAGCAGUGGGGAAUAUUGGACAAUGGGCGCAAGCCUGAUCCAGCCAUGCCGCGUGAGUGAUGAAGGCCCUAGGGUUGUAAAGCUCUUUCGCCGGUGAAGAUAAUGACGGUAACCGGAGAAGAAGCCCCGGCUAACUUCGUGCCAGCCGCCGCUGUAACAC